UACGUAGGGCGCGAGCGUUGUCCGGAAUUAUUGGGCGUAAAGGGCUCGUAGGCGGUUUGUCGCGUCGGGAGUGAAAACACCGGGCUUAACUCGGUGCUGGCUUUCGAUACGGGCAGACUAGAGGUAUGCAGGGGAGAACGGAAUUCCUGGUGUAGCGGUGAAAUGCGCAGAUAUCAGGAGGAACACCGGUGGCGAAGGCGGUUCUCUGGGCAUGAUCUGACGCUGAGGAGCGAAAGUGUGGGGAGCGAACAGG
rnacentral:rRNA from 1 species